rnacentral:rRNA from 1 species
AGCUCGUGUCGUGAGAUGUUGGGUUAAGUCCCGCAACGAGCGCAACCCCUAUUGUUAGUUGCCAUCAUUCAGUUGGGCACUCUAGCGAGACUGCCGGUAAUAACCGGAGAAGGUGGGGAUGACGUCAAAUCAUCAUGCCCCUUAUGACCUGGGCUACACACGUGCUACAAUGGACGGUACAAAGGGUCGCAAACUGCAAAGUGGAGCUAAUCCCACAAAGCCGUUCUCAGUUCGGAUUGGAGUCUGCAACCCGACUCCAUGAAGCUGGAAUCGCUAGUAAUCGCGGAUCAGCAUGCCGCGGUCGAAUACGUUCCGGCCUU